UAUAACAUUAUUCAGUUGAAAAAGUAAUUGCAGAAAUUGAGAUGAUAACAAAUUAACAAAUUCAGUCAAGUUCAACUGGGUUUUUAAAAGUUGAGUAUCUUUUUUCUGCGACAUUUUUUCUUCGUGGUUUCAAACACUGUCGUGGUGUCUCUGUUCUAUGUCGGCGUAGAAGAAAAACUACAAGCUUUGAGUGAUCAUCUUGCUAUGUCAUUUCCUGCGUCUGCCAGUUGAAAAGAGCAGAAGAGCUCAAACAAGUCAAAGGGAGCGCGUUUUGUUUUUCAACAAAUGAUCCACCGCGUUAAUGUCCUUUGCAGCAGCUUGAAACCAGUAUCAACAUUUUGAGCUCAACAUUUUGUCUUUCUUUAAUUCGAAGGUCAUAAAAAAUGCUUAGUUCAAUCAGCUGCCCUGCCAUUCCACCAUGGUGCAUCACCUUGUUGCUGUCUUGUAGCUUCGUCACAAUUAGCGCAAACGAGACAGACCGCCUUGCUUUACUUGCCAUAAAGUCACAGCUCCAGGAUCCACUAGGAUUUACGAGUUCAUGGAACAGCUCUGUAAGCUUCUGCCUAUGGAGAGGUGUAACUUGUGGUCGUCGGCACCAAAGGGUCACUAAGCUUGAUCUAAGAAACCAAAGCCUAGCAGGUUCUUUAUCACCAUAUAUUGGGAACCUCAGCUU